AACGAAGGGUGCGAGCGUUAAUCGGAAUUACUGGGCGUAAAGCGCGCGUAGGUGGUUAAGUAAGCGAUCUGUGAAAGCCCCGGGCUUAACCUGGGAACUGCAGGUCGAACUGCUUGGCUAGAGUAUGGUAGAGGGGUGUGGAAUUUCCUGUGUAGCGGUGAAAUGCGUAGAUAUAGGAAGGAACAUCAGUGGCGAAGGCGACACCCUGGACCGAUACUGACACUGAGGCGCGAAAGCGUGGGUAGCGAACAGG
rnacentral:rRNA from 1 species